rnacentral:rRNA from 1 species
CCUACGGGUGACAGCAGUGGGGAAGGGUGGACAAUGGGCGCAAGCCUGAUCCAGCGAUUCCGCGUGUGGGAAGACGGCCUUCGGGUGGUAAACCACUGGUGGAGAGAACGAAAAGUCUGGUGAUAAUACCGAUAGAUGAUGACGGUACGCGAAGAAGAAGCACGGGCUAACUACGUGCUAGCAGCCGCGGUAAUACGUAGGGUGCGAGCGUUAAUCGGAAUUACGGGGCGGAAAGGGUGUGCAGGCGGUUUUGCAAGAUGGAUGUGAAAGCCCCGGGCUUAACCUGGGAAAGCCAUACAUGACUGCAAGACUAGAGUGCGUCAGAGGGGGGUGGAAUUCCAAGUGUCGCAGU